GGAUAUAUAACUCAGAUGGUUAGAGUAUCAUGUCGACAUCGUGAAAGUCACUGGUUCGAUUCCAGUUGUAUCCA
rnacentral:tRNA from 1 species